AAGGGCUCUCAUUCCUCUUCCCCACUGCCUUCCAUCCUUUGAGCAGGGAACAACCUUCCUGCUGUGAAGUCUAUGAAUCUGCAGCUCCUCUGAUCUUCUGGAAGAAGAACACACGCUUUGGCAUAUCAACCAUCUCAAGGACCCAGGAAAUAACACAGCAAGCCAAUCAUAUGGUAAAGAACAGCUCUGCUACAUCACGAAAGAAUCCACCGCUCCCUGAAACACAAGCCCAAGAUCCAGGUACUUGGAUGUCUGGUAAAUAAGGGCCCAUUGAGUUCACAAGACGCAAGCAAGCCUUUUCUUCGGGAACUCAAACCCAGCACAGCCCAGCACAACAAUCCUCCACAAAGGCUGAAAAAGCACAUGGCAACCACAGCUCCCCACCACUCUUCAUAUACCACGAUUCUUCCGGCCUCAUUUUUCCAACUGCACCCUUCAUGUCCAGCUCUUCCUUUCCCUUUCACCCACUUCAGGUGUGACCAACUGAGAUAGAGUUGACUUUCUUACUAGUAGCUACUGUGGUGCUGUGUUUUGGAUUUGGGAUGAGAACAGCAUUGGUAACGCAGGAAUGUUUUCAGUUGUUGCUGAGCAGUCAAGGCAUUUUCUGCACCUCACACCACCCCGCCACUGGGUGGGCUGGGAGUGCGCGGAAUAUCAGGAUGGGACACAGUGGUGACAGCUGACCCCAACUCACCACAGGGAUAUUCCAUACCAUGUGAUGUCAUGCUCAGCAGAUAAAGCUGGGGUGGGGGGUCCGGGAAAGAAGUAACGGUUGGAAGGGUGUUUUGUCUUCCCAAAUAACUGUUACGCGUGAUGGAGCCCUGCUUUCCUGGAGCUGGCUGAACACCUGCCUGCCAAUGGGAAGUACUGAAUACAUUCCCUGUUUUGCUUGGCUUGCAUGGUCGGCUUUUGCUUUACUUGUAAAACUGUCCUCAUCUUAAUCCAUGAAUUUUCCUUAUUUUUCUCAUUCUUCACAUUCCUCUGGUGAGAGGGAAUAAGGAGUGAGUGGCUGCAUGGUCCUAGUUACCCGCUGGGGGUAAACUAUGACAACAACUUACCUGUGGAAUCCCUGGUUGGUUCUUCAAAAUAAAAAGCAUUUUC
rnacentral:lncRNA from 1 species